rnacentral:rRNA from 1 species
CAAUAGCGUAUAUUAAAGUUGUUGCAGUUAAAAAGCUCGUAGUUGGAUUUCUGGUUGAAGCGACCGGUCGGGCGUUGAUUCGUCUGCACUGGAGUCGGUUUUGGCCAUCCUCUAGGAAAGUGCGUCUGGUAUUAAGUUAUCGGGCGUAUGAUCCUGGUCUUUUACUGUGAAAAAAUUAGAGUGUUUAAAGCAGGCCUUCGCCUUGAAUACAUUAGCAUGGAAUAAUAAGAUAGGACUUUGGUCUAUUUUGUUGGUUGAGCCUAAAGUAAUGAUUAAUAGGGAUAGUUGGGGGCACCUGUAUUGCGUUGUCAGAGGUGAAAUUCUUGGAUUUACGCAAGACAAACAGCUGCGAAAGCGUCUGCCAAGGAUGUUUUCAUUAA